rnacentral:rRNA from 1 species
AACGAACGCUGGCGGCAUGCCUAACACAUGCAAGUCGAGCGCCUGUAGCAAUACGGGAGCGGCGCACGGGUGAGUAACGCGUGGGAACCUGCCCGUAGGUUCGGGACAACCGCGGGAAACUGCGGCUGAUACCGGAUGAAGCCUUUGGUGGAAACGCUGGAGGCCAAAGAUUUAUCGCCUUUGGAGGGGCCCGCGUCGGAUUAGGUAGUUGGUGGGGUAACGGCCCACCAAGCCUGCGAUCCGUAGCUGGUCUGAGAGGAUGAUCAGCCACACUGGGACUGAGACACGGCCCAGACUCCUACGGGAGGCAGCAGUGGGGAGUAUUGGACAAUGGGGGCAACCCUGAUCCAGCAAUGCCGCGUGGGUGAUGAAGGCCUUCGGGUUGUAAAGCCCUUUCGGCGGGGACGAUGAUGACGGUACCCGCAGAAGAAGCCCCGGCUAACUUCGUGCCAGCAGCCGCAGUAAUAC